GUGACUCUUAGCUUGACUUCCCAUGUGCAGAAUCGAGAUGUUCCUCAGUCCUGUGGUGAUGGCUGACAACUCCAUCACCACUAUCUCUAUAGCUCCCCUCCCCAACAUCCCAAGUCAAGAAGAAUGAAACAGGAUGCUCUGUCUUGGGAACCAAAAAGAAAGUUCUCGAACCUCCCAAAUAGCAGCCCUGGGCUGCCCCCCCCCUCCAGUGGCAGUAGUCCCCAAACCACAGAGAUAUUUCCGUAUGCGGAAAGUCUCGUUGAAACCUUUCCAUUUCCCUUAGCUCUGGAACUCCUUUCUGAGUUCCUUUUCUUCCCCACUGAACUAUAAUAAUAAAAAGAAAGCC
rnacentral:lncRNA from 1 species